rnacentral:lncRNA from 1 species
UUAUAGUCUAAAAUAUCGACGAAAUAUUGAGGAUAUUAUCAUUUUUUCUGAUCAUGGAUAUUUCGGAACGUAUCCAUACACAUAUUGUAUAAAUAUGGAUAAUAUCGGAAAAUAUCGAUGUCGAUAAUUUCGCUCACACUUCAGCAAUAUUUUGUCAAAAUAUUGCUAUAAUAUCGAAAAUAUCAAUAUAAUGGAAAAAAAGGAAAAGAAAAAAAAAACACAAGGGGGAUUCAAACAUUUGC